UACGUAGGGCGCAAGCGUUGUCCGGAAUUAUUGGGCGUAAAGAGCUCGUAGGCGGUUUGUCGCGUCUGCUGUGAAAGCCCGAGGCUCAACCCCGGGCCUGCAGUGGAUACGGGCAGACUAGAGUGCGGUAGGGGAGAAUGGAAUUCCUGGUGUAGCGGUGGAAUGCGCAGAUAUCAGGAGGAACACCAGUGGCGAAGGCAGAUCUCUGGGCCGUAACUGACGCUGAGGAGCGAAAGCAUGGGGAGCGAACAGG
rnacentral:rRNA from 1 species